rnacentral:rRNA from 1 species
UGGGGAAUAUUGGACAAUGGGCGCAAGCCUGAUCCAGCCAUGCCGCGUGAGUGAUGAAGGCCCUAGGGUUGUAAAGCUCUUUCACCGGUGAAGAUAAUGACGGUAACCGGAGAAGAAGCCCCGGCUAACUUCGUGCCAGCAGCCGCGGUAAUACGAAGGGGGCUAGCGUUGUUCGGAUUUACUGGGCGUAAAGCGCACGUAGGCGGACUAUUAAGUCAGGGGUGAAAUCCCGGGGCUCAACCCCGGAACUGCCUUUGAUACUGGUAGUCUUGAGUUCGAGAGAGGUGAGUGGAAUUCCGAGUGUAGAGGUGAAAUUCGUAGAUAUUCGGAGGAAUACCUGUGGCGAAGGCGACUUACUGGACACAAAUCUGACGCUGAGGAACGAAAGCGUGGGUAGCAAACAGG